rnacentral:tRNA from 1 species
UCCUUGGUGGUCCAGUGGUUAGAACUUCGAGCUUUCACUGCCGGGGGCCCAGGUUCAAUCCCUGGUUGGGGAA